rnacentral:tRNA from 1 species
GUAUAUAUAAUUUAAAAAAAAUACUAGAUUGUGAUUCUAGAAAUGAAAGUUUAAUCCUUUCUAUUAACC